rnacentral:tRNA from 1 species
GGAGAGAUGGCUGAGUGGCUGAAAGCACCUUCCUGCUAAGAAGGGAUACUGGGAUACUGGUAUCGGGGGUUCGAAUCCCCCUCUCUCCGCCA